AUGAACUUCAUGAUUGUAUCAACCCUGCUGGCUGCUUUACUGGUGGAGAGUGGACAUGGUCAGACACUGACUGAAUCUGAGCCUGUGGUCAUUAAUCCUGGAGGAUCUCGCAGACUGACCUGCACAGCCUCUGGGUUCACAUUUAGUAACUACUAUAUGGCUUCGAUCAGACAGGCUCCUGGGAAUGGGCUGGAAUGGAUCUUGAGCAUGUACAGCUCUUCUCACAUCUACCACUCUCAGGCUAUUCAGGGACGGUUCACAAUCUCUAAAGAUGAUGACAAGAGCCAGGUGUAUCUGCCUGAAGACUGA